GCAUGGCUGAAUUCUGUGUUACUCUGCCAAUAGUAAAUGCAGUCAGACACCAUGCAAAAUCAGCACACUCUCUGCUUCUGAAUAGUGAUGAAACUCAGUAUAUUCAAGUCUCAUCACAUAUGCAGGAGAGAGUACAU